GACGGGGGAUGCGAGCGUUAUCCGGAGUCACUGGGCGUAAAGCGUAUGUAGGCGGUGAGGCAAGUCUCGGGUUAAAGACUACGGCUUAACCGGAGGGAAGCCAGUGAAACUGACUGGCUAGAGUGUGGGAGAGGUAGCAGGAAUUCCCGGAGUAGCGGUGAAAUGCGUAGAUACCGGGAAGAACACCGGAGGCGAAAGCGCGCAACUGGGACCCAACUGACGCUGAGAUACGAAAGCUAGGGGAGCGAAUGGG
rnacentral:rRNA from 1 species